GCCAUAUCACAUUGAAACACCGGUUCUCGUGCGACCACUGAAGUUAAGCAAUAUUGAGCCGGGUCAGUACCUAGAUGGGUAGCCGCUUAAGACUACCAGGUGCUGUAAG